rnacentral:rRNA from 1 species
UUGGGAAUAUUGGACAAUGGGCGCAAGCCUGAUCCAGCCAUGCCGCGUGGGUGAAGAAGGCCCUAGGGUUGUAAACCCCUUUCAGCGGGGAAGAUAAUGACGGUAGCGACAGAAGAAGCCCCGGCUAACUCCGUGCGAGCAGCCGCCGUAAUACGGAGGGGGCAAGCGUUGUUCGGAUUUACAGGGCGUAAAGGGCGCGUAGGCGGGGUAUCCAGUUAGGGGUGAAAGCCCGGGGCUCAACCUCGGAACUGCCUUUAAUACUGAUACUCUAGAGUCCGGAAGAGGGUCGCGGAAUUCCCAGUGUAGAGGUGAAAUUCGUAGAUAUUGGGAAGAACACCGGUGGCGAAGGCGGCGACCUGGUCCGGUACUGACGCUGAGGCGCGAAAGCGUGGGGAGCAAACAGGAUUAGAUACCCCCGUAGUCC